CUACUUUAAUUGCUCUACAAACUGUAACAUCCAUUCCUCAUUUUAAAAUCAAAUUUCCUACGGCUCAUGGGGUUGGUGAGGUCAAGGGAGAUUUGGAUCUGGCCAGGAGGUGUUACAGAAAUGCUGUUAUUUCUUCGGGAGUGGGGGUAUCGAAGCAGAAACAAGCCAUGGCGAUAGAGAUCGAACCCUUCACUGAAAGUAG
rnacentral:lncRNA from 1 species